rnacentral:rRNA from 1 species
UGGGGAAUAUUGCACAAUGGGCGCAAGCCUGAUGCAGCCAUGCCGCGUGUGUGAAGAAGGCCUUCGGGUUGUAAAGCACUUUCAGCGAGGAGGAAGGUGGUGGACUUAAUACGUUCAUCAAUUGACGUUACUCGCAGAAGAAGCACCGGCUAACUCCGUGCCAGCAGCCGCGGUAAUACGGAGGGUGCAAGCGUUAAUCGGAAUUACUGGGCGUAAAGCGCACGCAGGCGGUUUGUUAAGUCAGAUGUGAAAUCCCCGGGCUCAACCUGGGAACUGCAUUUGAAACUGGCAAGCUAGAGUCUCGUAGAGGGGGGUAGAAUUCCAGGUGUAGCGGUGAAAUGCGUAGAGAUCUGGAGGAAUACCGGUGGCGAAGGCGGCCCCCUGGACGAAGACUGACGCUCAGGUGCGAAAGCGUGGGGCAGCAAACAGGAUUAGAUACCCUGGUAGUCCACGCUGUAAAACGAUGUCGAUUUUGGAGGUUGUGCCCUUGAGGCGUGGCUUCCGGAGCUAACGCGUUAAAUCGACCGCCUGGGGAGUACGG